CAUGUAGGCGGCUUAAUAAGUCGAGCGUGAAAAUGCGGGGCUCAACCCCGUAUGGCGCUGGAAACUGUUAGGCUUGAGUGCAGGAGAGGAAAGGGGAAUUCCCGGUGUAGCGGUGAAAUGCGUAGAUAUUGGGAGGAACACCAGUGGCGAAGGCGCCUUUCUGGACUGUGUCUGACGCUGAGGUGCGAAAGCCAGGGUAGCGAACG
rnacentral:rRNA from 1 species